rnacentral:rRNA from 1 species
CGUCUUCACCCCAGUCAUCGGUCUUACCUUAGGAAGCGCCCUCCUUGCGGUUAGGCAACCUACUUCGGGUACUCCCAACUCCCGUGGUGUGACGGGCGGUGUGUACAAGGCCCGGGAACGUAUUCACCGCGGCGUGCUGAUCCGCGAUUACUAGCGAUUCCGACUUCAUGUAGGCGAGUUGCAGCCUACAAUCCGAACUGAGAAUGGUUUUAAGAGAUUAGCUAAACAUCACUGUCUCGCGACUCGUUGUACCAUCCAUUGUAGCACGUGUGUAGCCCAGGUCAUAAGGGGCAUGAUGAUUUGACGUCAUCCCCACCUUCCUCCGGUUUAUCACCGGCAGUCUCGUUAGAGUGCCCAACUUAAUGAUGGCAACUAACAAUAGGGGUUGCGCUCGUUGCGGGACUUAACCCAACAUCUCACGACACGAGCUGACGACAACCAUGCACCACCUGUAUCCCGUGUCCCGAAGGAACUUCCUAUCUCUACGAAUGGCACCAGUAUGUCAAGACCUGGUAAGGAUCUUCUCGUUGCUUCUAAAAAAAAACACAUGCUCCACCGCUUGUGUGUGGGGCCCCCUCGAUUCCUCUGAUGUUCUACCUCGCAGGCGGUACGCCCUCCCGCGGGAGGGAGUGUUUAUUGAGUUGCUGCGAUACAGAGAAUUUAUAGCUACAUAUAGCAAGCACUCAUCGUUUAGAGCGUGAACUAGCAGGGUAUCUAAUCUUGUUUGCUCACACGCUUUCGAGCCUCAGUGUCAGUUACACGCGAUAGAGCCGCUUUCCACCACCAGGUGUUCCUACAUAUAUGCACUCAUUUCUCCGCUACACAUGAAAUUC